UACGGGGGGGCAAGCGUUGUUCGGAAUUACUGGGCGUAAAGGGCUCGUAGGCGGCCAACUAAGUCAGACGUGAAAUCCCUCGGCCUAACCGGGGAACUGCAUCUGAUACUGGAUGGCUUGAGUUCGGGAGAGGGAUGCGGAAUUCCAGGUGUAGCGGUGAAAUGCGUAGAUAUCAGGAGGAACACCGGUGGCGAAGGCGGUUCUCUGGGCAUGAUCUGACGCUGAGGAGCGAAAGUGUGGGGAGCGAACAGG
rnacentral:rRNA from 1 species